CGAGGCUUGACCCUCUUAUCGCGUGCUUUCGUCACUCUCUGCUGAUGUAACUGACCAUGCUACAUGGCAGUUGAUCUCUUCUUUUCGAUUGGAUUCACCUGGUCAUAGUGACUCUGAAUCCAUUCAUCAUCAGUCAACUUGGGACUUUGAGGGUGCUAUUUCUCUUUUUUUUUUCUUCUUUCUUUUUUUUUCUUUCUUCUGAUUUGAUUUCUUUUGAUUUCUUUUGAUUUCUUUUGAUUUUGAUUGAUUUCUUUUUUUUUGAUUUUGCACCCUCCUCUUUCUUUGUUUUUUUUUUUGAUUGAUUUUUUUCUUCUUUUUUUUUUGAUGCCCCAGUUGGCUGUUCUGCUGAUUCUC
rnacentral:lncRNA from 1 species